CAGACAUGCUGUUUAGGCCCUGCUGGUACCUGGAGUUGCUGCAAGUUUUCACGUGGACACUGUUGUAGGGAUGGCUAUCACUGUUGUGCAAGUGGCUUCAUCUGUGACAGCACUUCUCACAAGUGCCUGAAUGGUUAUCUGAGCGUGGCUGCAUCUCCCCAACUGCCAGCCACCAGAACUGAUGGCAUUUAAAAAAUCAGAGAGAGACGUUCCUGCCCCUGUACCCUGAAAUGUGAUUCUACCUCUAUGAGCUGUGUGAGGGGAGACACCAACAUCCUUUCAUCUACCAUGAGGGAGAUACAGCUACUGUG